CCUGCCACUGUACUUGCCUGUAAGUGACUUUGUACUGCCACAAGGAAGGCUAAUAGCGACCCAGCUCUAGGAAACAGGGUUGCCCAACUUAAUGGGCAACUCUGUGCCGUGAGGUCUGGAACACCU